rnacentral:tRNA from 1 species
GGGCCCGUCGUCUAGCGGUUAGGAUGUCGCCCUCACAAGGCGCCGUGUUUGGGGCUCGACUCUGGGAGCGGCGGAGGUCCCGGGUUCGAAUCCCGGCGGGCCCA